rnacentral:rRNA from 1 species
AGUGAACGCUGGCGGUAGGCCUAACACAUGCAAGUCGAACGGCAGCACAGUAAGAGCUUGCUCUUACGGGUGGCGAGUGGCGGACGGGUGAGGAAUACAUCGGAAUCUACUUUUUCGUGGGGGAUAACGUAGGGAAACUUACGCUAAUACCGCAUACGACCUACGGGUGAAAGCAGGGGAUCUUCGGACCUUGCGCGAUUGAAUGAGCCGAUGUCGGAUUAGCUAGUUGGCGGGGUAAAGGCCCACCAAGGCGACGAUCCGUAGCUGGUCUGAGAGGAUGAUCAGCCACACUGGAACUGAGACACGGGCCAGACUCCUACGGGAGGCAGCAGUGGGGAAUAUUGGACAAUGGGCGCAAGCCUGAGCCAGCCAUACCGCGUGGGUGAAGAAGGCCUGCGGGUUGUAAAGCCCUUUUGUUGGGAAAGAAAAGCAGCAGGUUAAUACCCCGCUGUUCUGACGGUACCCAAAGAAUAAGCACCGGCUAACUUCGU